GCCGAGGUAGCCAAGCGGCCUAAGGCGCUGGUCUUGAAAACCAGUUGUGCUACGCACAGCAAGAGUUCAAAUCUCUUCCUCGGCGCC
rnacentral:tRNA from 1 species